AGAAGAGUCACUUUACAGCAAAGGAGAUAUGGUGGUACAGAUAUGACGAUGGGACCCAUAAAUACUGUUAUGUACUGCACUGCCAAAGAUGAACAGGCAAUAAAAAAAGCCAGCAUGUUGUCAAGAGUAAUUAACCCUGAUAAUCAAGGGGAGCUUGGGGCAAGAUGGCCGACUAGACACAGCAAGUGGAAUUACCGCCAGCAAGGGACUGAGACAACUGGCGCACUCCUAACAAAUCAUCCGAUGGAAGGCACCAGGAGUGGCCGAGGGAAGACACAGAAGGAAGCUGGGCUGAAACAGGAGGAACAUUGCACUGGGCUACCAUGCGCUGGGACUUGUUCCUGGCCCCCAAGGACUCUCAGGGAAUGGGUUUAAGGUGUACAUCUUCAGGUUCAACACAUGGACAAAUUUUGUGUUACUGAGGUUUGGCGUAUGAAUGAUCCCAUCACCCAGCUAGAAUUCAAGCCUUAGAUAUUUUGAGUUUUUAAAGUUCCAGAUCCUUGAGGAAUCGCGACACUGUCUUACACAAUGGUUGAACUAAUUUAUACGCCCACCAACAGUGUAAAAGCCUUCCUAUUUCUCUACAACCUCUCCAGUAACUGUUUUUUCCUGACUUUUUAAUGAUCGCCAUUCUAACUGGCAUGAGAUGGUAUCUCAUUGUGGUUUUGAUUUGCAUUUCUCUAACAACCAGUGAUGAUGACCUUUUUUUCAUGUUUUUUGGCCGCAUAAAUGUCUUCUUUUGAAAGUGUCUGUUUAUAUCCUUUGCCCAGUUUUGAUGUUUUUUUUUUAUUUUCUUGUAAAUUUGUGUAAGUGCCUUGUAGAUUCUGGAUAUUAGCCCUUUGUCAGAUGGAGAGAUUGCAAAAUUUUCUCCCAUUCUGUAGGUUGCCUGUUGACUCCGACGAUAGUUUCUUUUGCCAUGCAGAAGCUCUUUAGUUUAAUUAAAUCCCAUUUGUC
rnacentral:lncRNA from 1 species